rnacentral:rRNA from 1 species
UACGGAGGGUGCGAGCGUUGUCCGGAAUCACUGGGCGUAAAGGGCGCGUAGGUGGCCUGAUGAGUCAACGGUGAAAGCUCGUCGCUCAACGACGAGUCGGCCGUCGAUACUGUCGGGCUGGAGCACUGUAGAGGCUCAUGGAAUUCCGGGUGUAGCGGUGGAAUGCGUAGAGAUCCGGAAGAACACCGGUGGCGAAGGCGGUGAGCUGGGCAGUGCUGACACUGAGGCGCUGGACGAGCGUGGGAGCAACAGGGAUAAGAAACCGAGUACGUC